ACGCUGGCGGCGUGCCUAACACAUGCAAGUCGAACGGAGAUACGAUUUCGGUUGUAUCUUAGUGGCGAACGGGUGAGUAACGCGUGAGCAACCUGACUCUUAGAGGGGGAUAACACUGGGAAACGAGUGCUAAUACCGCAUAAGACCACGACAUGGCAUCAUGACGAGGUCAAAGGAGCAAUCCGCUGAGAGAGGGGCUCGUGUCCCAUUAGAUAGAUGGCGGGGUAACGGCCCACCAUGUCAACGAUGGGUAGCCGAGCUGAGAGGCUGAUCGGCCACACUGGAACUGAGACACGGUCCAGACUCCUACGGGAGGCAGCAGUGGGGAAUAUUGGGCAAUGGGCGCAAGCCUGACCCAGCAACGCCGCGUGAGGGAAGAAGGCUUUCGGGUUGUAAACCUCUGUCCUUGGUGACGAAACAAAUGACGGUAGCCAAGGAGGAAGCCCCGGCUAACUACGUG
rnacentral:rRNA from 1 species